rnacentral:rRNA from 1 species
GAUGAACGCUGGCGGCGUGCUUAACACAUGCAAGUCGAACGGAAAGGCGCCUGCUUGCAGGGGUACUCGAGUGGCGAACGGGGGAGUAACACGUGGGUGAUCUGCCCUGCACUUCGGGAUAAGCCUGGGAAACUGGGGCUAAUACCGGAUAGGACGAUGUGUUGGAUGCGAUUGAGGAAAGAUAUUUCGGCGUGGGAUGAGCUCGAGGCCGAUCAGCGCGUCGGUGGGGUAAUGGCAGACCAAGGCGUAGACUGGUCGCCGGCCUGGGAGCGUGUACGGCGACCUUGGGCCUGCGGGACGGCGCAGAAUCCUAUGGGACGCAGCAGUCGGGAGUCUGGCAGAAUGGCCGCGCGCCUGUUGUGGCGGCGCUGCGUGCGUGAUGCCGGGCUUCGGGUUGUGAACACCUUUCGCUGGGGCCGUAGCGCUAGUGACGGUACCUAGAGAAAAAGCACCGGCUAACUACGUG